rnacentral:rRNA from 1 species
UACGUAGGGGGCGAGCGUUGUCCGGAUUUAUUGGGCGUAAAGAGCGUGUAGGCGGCCAUGUAGGUCCGGUGUGAAAACUCGAGGCUUAACCUCGAGAUGUCAUCGGAAACCAUUUGGCUAGAGUCCGGAAGAGGAGAGUGGAAUUCCUGGUGUAGCGGUGAAAUGCGCAGAUAUCAGGAAGAACACCAAUGGCGAAAGCAGCUCUCUGGGACGGUACUGACGCUGAGACGCGAAAGCGUGGGGAGCGAACAGG